GAUGAACGCUGGCGGCGUGCCUAAUACAUGCCAGUCGAGCGAACAGAUAAGGAGCUUGCUCCUUUGACGUUAGCGGCGGACGGGUGAGUAACACGUGGGUAACCUACCUAUAAGACUGGGAUAACUUCGGGAAACCGGAGCUAAUACCGGAUAACAUUUGGAACCGCAUGGUUCUAAAGUGAAAGAUGGUUUUGCUAUCACUUAUAGAUGGACCCGCGCCGUAUUAGCUAGUUGGUAAGGUAACGGCUUACCAAGGCGACGAUGCGUAGCCGACCUGAGAGGGUAGCCGGCCACAUUGAAACAGAGACGCGGUGCAGGCUCCAAAGGGAGGACGCAGUAGGGAAUCUUCCGCAAUGGGCGAAAGCCUGACGGAGCAACGCCGCGUGAGUGAUGAAGGGUUUCGGCUCGUAAAACUCUGUUAUUAGGGAAGAACAAAUGUGUAAGUAACUGUGCACGUCUUGACGGUACCUAAUCAGAAAGCCACGGCUAGCUACGUG
rnacentral:rRNA from 1 species